rnacentral:ncRNA from 2 species
AAUUGAAAAAGGCAAAACCUUUCGAAAGAAGGUGACGCAAAGCCAUGAGUCUACAGCAGUUUUACUGCCAGGAUCGUCAGACCGCCACG